UAAACUGAAGAGUUUGAUCAUGGCUCAGAUUGAACGCUGGCGGCAGGCCUAACACAUGCAAGUCGAGCGCGAAAGUUUCUUCGGAAGCGAGUAGAGCGGCGGACGGGUGAGUAACGCGUAGGAAUCUACCCAGUAGUGGGGGACAACUCGGGGAAACCCGAGCUAAUACCGCAUACGCCCUAAGGGGGAAAGCAGGGGAUCUUCGGACCUUGCGCUAUCGGAUGAGCCUGCGUCGGAUUAGCUUGUUGGUGAGGUAAUGGCUCACCAAGGCGACGAUCCGUAGCUGGUCUGAGAGGAUGAUCAGCCACACUGGGACUGAGACACGGCCCAGACUCCUACGGGAGGCAGCAGUGGGGAAUAUUGCACAAUGGGGGAAACCCUGAUGC
rnacentral:rRNA from 1 species